CCGUCGUGUAGUUAGUUUAUAGCCUAAUAUUAGCUUUUCACUUCUGGCGAGUGUAUAGGCUUCAAAAUGUGAUGGAUCUUAUAUUACUGAAGGAAACAUGUAAGAAUCAUAAACUUUUGUUGGUCACAGAGCUUAUUUUCUGCAAUAAUCCAAAAGCCAGUGGAAAAAUCCUGUCGUUUUGUGGAGGGGGGAAAGUGUGACGCUUCCGGGGUGAACUUCCGGGGUGGCCUACAAAAAUACACCAUCCCUGCAGUAUUGACGACUUCCACAUUAGAAGGGGAAACACCCCUCUCUCUUAAUACCGAGAUAAAGUCCAUCACUACAGCGGGGAAUUAUUACAUUUAUGAUGGCGAAGAUGCCAAAGUGCAUGUAACACCAGUCCCAUUCACAAAGCGCCAGAUUUUUUUCCGGAGAAUGUUUUGUGAGAAAACAGCUUUUGGUUAUGUGGAGAUCACGAGAAAAGCAGGAUGAUGAUAAUAAUAAUAAUAAUAAUAAUAAUAAUAAUAAUAAUAAUAAUGCAUGGCCGCUUAGGACUUCCGUGGAGACAUGCCUUUAGUUGUUUAGAAGUUACUCUGGGCAGAGAAGGGAAGUAACGACGUACUAAUACUUCAUUACUGUGCUUAAGUAGAUUUUUCUGGUAUCAGUACUUUACUAUUUAUAUUUCUGACUUUUCCCCCACAUAUAUCUGUAUUUUCUACUUCUUACAUUUUCAAACCAGGCCCUUUAGUUUUAAUCUGUAUUUGGUGGCAUGAUAUAAUAGUCUUCCUUGUCCCUGGCUAUCAUGCACAACAAGCGUAAGCUAGUCAAGGCAGAAGGCAACAAGAAGAAUGGCUAAUGUUAUGGAUGAGACGGAGGGCGUUAGUGAUGUGUACAUGACUGAGGACAGGGACAUUCCUGAUCACCCAUAUAUGAGGGAGAUGCUGGCUUUCAAGAAUUCGCCAUCGAAUUUGAGAAAGCACAUGCAGGUUCUGUACCGGAAACAGAAAUGAUAGUUCGAUUCUUCGCGUUCGAGUUAUUGGUUCUUCCGUGACCGCCGCAUAGACAAUGCAGCAUGCAGUACCGGAAACGGGAUGAACGAACGACUCGAACCCGAAGACUGGAGAGGUGAACUAAUCAUUUAUGUUUCCUGGGAACAGACUUGACAAAAGUACGACUCAGAUCCGGAGGUGAGGUGAACUAACAGAUUACCCUGAAUACCAGCUAAGCUAUUUAUUAAUCAUUUCUGUUCUCAUAAUUCGGCCUUGGCUGCAUGAACCUAUAGUUAAUUU
ensembl:lncRNA